CAGCAGCCGCGGUAAUACGUAGGGUGCGAGCGUUAAUCGGAAUUACUGGGCGUAAAGCGUGCGCAGGCGGUUCGGAAAGAGAGAUGUGAAAUCCCAGGGCUUAACCUUGGAACUGCAUUUUUAACUACCGGACUAGAGUGUGUCAGAGGGAGGUGGAAUUCCGCGUGUAGCAGUGAAAUGCGUAGAGAUGCGGAGGAACACCGAUGGCGAAGGCAGCCUCCUGGGAUAACACUGACGCUCAUGCACGAAAGCGUGGGGAGCAAACAGGAUUAGAUACCCCUGUAGUCCCUGUCUCUUAUAC
rnacentral:rRNA from 1 species